rnacentral:lncRNA from 1 species
AUGAAGACAGGUUAUCUUCUGCAGAAGGAGCUGGGUGCAGCUGUCACUGGAGCAUCAGAGGAUAUAAAUUCACCUGGAAUUAGUCUUUUUGGCCAAAAUAAAUUGUUAUUCAUAUUUGGCUGUCCAAAAAAGACCAAGAAAUAUUUGAAGCAUGCUGGACCUUUAUCCUACAAGAGUUCAAUCUGCAGUGAUAACACAACGUGCAACAAGUUUGUCCGCAAUUUACAGGAAUUACCUUUCCACUUAUUGAAAACAGAAAAAAACAGAAAAAAAAAAAAAGAAGAUUUCCAUACCUUAAGUCUUCAAGAUUGGUUUUGA